rnacentral:pre_miRNA from 1 species
AGUGGGAUAGCUGGGUCCAAUGGUGGUUCCAUUCCCAGUUUUCCAAGCAAUCUCCAUAUAGCUUUCCAAAUUGGUUGUACCAAUUUGCAGUCCCACUGGCAAU